rnacentral:misc_RNA from 1 species
AACCGCCGAAUACGGAUCCGUACGUUCGGUAGUGGGAGAGUACGGGGAUUAGUCAUCCCCUCCUAU